UAUAAUGUUUUGACUUUUAUCUUAUUUGAAAUUUUUUGUGAUUAAUAUUUUUAUUCUUACUAAAUGAUAAAACAUGAAUAGUACUUUAUGUGUGACUAAUUUUUUUAAGCUUUUGUACAAAAUUUCUAAAUAAGACGAAUGGUCAAACGUUGGAUACGGAAAAAC
rnacentral:pre_miRNA from 1 species